GGGGAAUCUUGGACAAUGGGCGCAAGCCUGAUCCAGCCAUGCCGCGUGAGUGAAGAAGGCCUUAGGGUUGUAAAGCUCUUUCGUCAGGGAAGAUAAUGACGGUACCUGAAGAAGAAGCCCCGGCUAACUCCGUGCCAGCAGCCGCGGUAAUACGGAGGGGGCUAGCGUUGUUCGGAAUCACUGGGCGUAAAGCGCACGUAGGCCGACGGUUAAGUCGGGGGUGAAAGCCUGGAGCUCAACUCCAGAACUGCCUCCGAUACUGGUCGUCUUGAGUCCGAGAGAGGUGAGUGGAAUUCCCAGUGUAGAGGUGAAAUUCGUAGAUAUUGGGAAGAACACCAGUGGCGAAGGCGGCUCACUGGCUCGGUACUGACGCUGAGGUGCGAGAGCGUGGGGAGCGAAC
rnacentral:rRNA from 1 species